UACGUAGGGUGCAAGCGUUAUCCGGAAUUAUUGGGCGUAAAGAGCUCGUAGGCGGUUUGUCGCGUCUGCUGUGAAAACCCGAGGCUCAACCUCGGGCUUGCAGUGGGUACGGGCAGACUAGAGUGCGGUAGGGGAGACUGGAAUUCCUGGUGUAGCGGUGGAAUGCGCAGAUAUCAGGAGGAACACCGAUGGCGAAGGCAGGUCUCUGGGCCGCAACUGACGCUGAGGAGCGAAGGCAUGGGGAGCGAACAGG
rnacentral:rRNA from 1 species